UCUCAGUACAAGCCAAACUAAGGUGAAACCGCAAAAGGCUCAUUAAAUCAGUUAUGGUUCCUUGGAUCGUACAAUCCACUACUUGGAUAACUGUGGUAAUUCUAGAGCUAAUACAUGCAAACAGAGUCCCGACCAGAAAUGGAAGGGACGCUUUUAUUAGAUCAAAACCAAUCGACGUCCGUUUGCUUAACGGCAGGCGGCGCCGUACUCCUUGGUGACUCUGAAUAACUUUUGGCAGAUCGCACGGUCUUCGAACCGGCGACGCAUCCUUCAAAUGUCUGCCUUAUCAACUGUCGAUGGUAGGUUCUGCGCCUACCAUGGUUGUAACGGGUAACGGGGAAUCAGGGUUCGAUUCCGGAGAGGGAGCCUGAGAAACGGCUACCACAUCCAAGGAAGGCAGCAGGCGCGCAAAUUACCCACUCCCGGCACGGGGAGGUAGUGACGAAAAAUAACGAUACGGGACUCAUCCGAGGCCCCGUAAUCGGAAUGAGUAUACUCUAAAUCCUUAUACGAGUAUCAAUUGGAGGGCAAGUCUGGUGCCAGCAGCCGCGGUAAUUCCAGCUCCAAUAGCGUAUAUUAAAGUUGUUGCGGUUAAAAAGCUCGUAGUUGGAUCUGUGUCCCGCACCGUCGGUUCACCGCCUGUCGGUGUUCAACUGUCGUGUAUGCGGAACGUCCUGCCGGUGGCGGUCCGGUGCCCCGUCGGUACGUAGGGGUCGUCCUUGCUUCGCUUGCGUCGUCCCCGAAGGCCUUCGUGGUGUCUCCGGCCGCCUUUAUAUCCCGUCGCGGUGCUCUUCACCGAGUGUCGAGGCGGGCCGGCACGUUUACUUUGAACAAAUUAGAGUGCUUUAAGCAGGCCCUGUCCCGCCUGUAUGUUGUGUGCAUGGAAUAAUGGAAUAGGACCUCGGUUCUAUUUUGUUGGUUUUCGGAAUCUGAGGUAAUGAUCAAUGGGGACAGGCGGGGGCAUUCGUAUUGCGACGUUAGAG
rnacentral:rRNA from 1 species